rnacentral:rRNA from 1 species
UGGGCCGACGUCGCAUGCUCCCGGCCGCCAUGGCCGCGGGAUUGUGCUCCCCCGCCAAUUCCUUUAAGUUUCAUCCUUGCGGACGUACUUCCCAGGCGGCUCGCUUCUCGGCUUCCCUACGGCACAGCGCAGGCUCGUAGCCUGCGCCACACCUAGCGAGCAUCGUUUACGGCUUGGACUACCCGGGUAUCUAAUCCGGUUCGAGACCCAAGCUUUCGUCCCUCACCGUCGGGUCCGUUCUCCAGAGACGCUUUCGCUACCGGUGGUCCGUCCAGGAUUACAGGAUUUCACUCCUACCCCGGACGUACCUCUCUGGUCUCCCGGCCCCAAGCCGACUGGUUUCCGCCGGACGUCCACCCGUUGAGCGGGUGGAUUUCCCGACGGACCUGUUCGGCCGGCUACGGACGCUUUAGGCCCAAUAAAAGUGGCUAUCACUCGAGCUGCCGGUAUUACCGCGGCGGCUGGCACCGGUCUUGCCCAGCACUUAUUCUGUGACCUCCUUACGGUCACGAAAAGCGAGGACUGUAUGCCCUCGCACUCGGGGUCCCCUUAUCGCACUGUCGUGCAGUGUAAAGGCUUCGCGCCUGCUGCUCCCCGUAAUCACUAGUGCGGCCGCCUGCAGGUCGACCAUAUGGGAGAGCUCCCAACGCGUUGGAUGCAUAGCUUGAGUAUUCUWWGGGGGNCCCCCCU